AAGGAAAGGCUUGUUAGGGAAGUCACAUCUCAGCUGAGAUUUGAAAGGUAAGUUGGAGGAAGCCUAGUGAAGAAAGCUGAAGGAGGAAUGUAGAGCGUUCAGGAUAAAGCAGCAGCCCGUGGUAAGCUUAGAAUCAUCAUCCACCACGACAAGAUGCAAGAUAGGUAAUCAAUUCAGUACAUCAGAAUCACUGGCUAUGAAGAGAAGAUUCAAGCAGAGACCUGCAGGAUCAAACACUAGCUGAAUUGCUGGGGUUGCAAAGAGGAAUAAAACCGUCACCUGCUUGGAGGACGUCAAAAUCUACAAAGAAGAGGAGUUUUGAAGUUUUGUGACUGGGACUGGCUUUCCUGUUCUUCAGCUUGCAGAAGGCCUGUUGUGAGACUUCGCCUUGUGAUCGUAUUCAUCUCAUGCCAAGCCUCUACGCCAAUCCAUCCUGAAUUAGAUGCUGUGCUCUUAUAUGCCGCUGUGCAUUUGGUCCUGCUCCAUCACUCAGGCUGGAAUGCAAUGGUGUGAUCCAGACUAACCGCAACCGCCACCCUGCAGGCUCAAGCAUCCUCUCACCUCAGCCUCCCAAAUAGUGGGAGCACAGGUGCAUGCCACCACAGCCAGCUAAUUUUGGUAUUUUUUAUAGAGAAGGAGUUUCACCAUGUUGCCCAAGCUGCUCUCAAACUCCUGAGAUAAGGAGAUCCACCCACCUUGGCCUCCCAAGUGUUAGGAUUGCAGACAUGAGCCAGCAUGCCGGCCUGGUAGAUUUCAUUUAACAUUACAACAUGAAGAUUUUUAAAUAUAUUCUCUUCUAUAACAUAAUGAUUCCAUAAUAUUGCUUUAUUUUGCUGCAAAAUUUUGAUAAGGG
rnacentral:lncRNA from 1 species